GUCGCGUGUGUGAAGAAGGCCUUAGGGUUGUAAAACACUUUCAAUAAAGAAAGAAGAAGUAAAAAAAUAAAAUUUUUUUAUUUUUGACGAUAUUUAUAAAAGAAGCACCGGCUAACUUCGUGCCAGCAGCCGCGGUAAUACGAGGGGUGCUAGCGUUAAUCAAAUUUACUGGGCGUAAAGGGUGUGUAGGUUGUUAAUUUAAAUUAAUUGUUAAAUUUAUUAAGAAAAAACUUAAUAAAAUAGUUAAUACUAAUUUUCUAGAGUAUAAAAGAAGUAAAUAGAAUUCUAAAAGUAGCAGUGAAAUGCUUAGAUAUUUAGAAGAAUACUAAUGGCGAAGGCAUUUUUCUAUUUUAUACUGACGCUGAUACACGAAAGCAUGGGUAGCAAACAGGAUUAGAUACCCUGGUAGUCCAUGCAGUAAACGUUGUCAACUAUUUAUUAAAUAACAUAUUAUAUAAAAAAAUUUUUAUGAUAAAAAUAUUUAUGUAAAUUUAGUGAAAAAGCUAACGCGUUAAGUUGACCGCCUGGGGAUUACGACCGCAAG
rnacentral:rRNA from 1 species